rnacentral:rRNA from 1 species
UUCCUACGUACCCCAAGGCCAGGGAUAGCCCCGGGAAACUGGGAGUAAUACCUGAUGAUAUCUCCGGAUCAAAGGCUCCGGCCACCUUGGGAGCGGGGAACGCCCUAUCAGGUUGUUGGUGAGGUAACGGCUCACCAAGCCUUAGACGGGUAGCGGGUGUGAGAGCAUGACCCGCCGCAUCGGGACUGAGACACUGCCCGGACUCCUACGGGAGGCUGCAGUAACGAAUAUUCCGCAAUGCGCGAAAGCGUGACGGAGCAAUGCCGCGUGUGGGAUGAAGCUUUUCGGAGUGUAAACCACUGUCAGAGUUUAGGAACUCAAUGACCAGACUCAAAGGAAGGGCCGGCUAACUUCGUGCCAGCAGCCGCGGUAAUACGAAGGGCCCGAGCGUUAAUCGGAAUCACUGGGCUUAAAGCGUGCGUAGGCGGACUUGAAGGCGCUUUGUGAAAUCCCUCGGCUCAACCGAGGAACUGCAGGGCGAACCAUGAGUCUCGAGACAGGUAGAGGUUGUCGGAACGAUAGGUGGAGUGGUGAAAUGCGUUGAUAUCUAUCGGAACGCCAAUGGAGAAGUCAGGCAACUGGGCCUGUUCUGACGCUGAGGCACGAAAGCGUGGGUAGCGAACGGGAUUAGAUACCCCGGUAGUCCACGCCGUAAACGAUGCGCACUAGGUUGGAGAAGUUCUGACACUGUUUCCGGCCGAAGCAAAAGUGUUAAGUGCGCCGCCUGGGGGAGUACGGUCGCAAGGCUAAAACUCAGA